AGAGCGAACGCUGGCGGCAGGCCUAACACAUGCAAGUCGAGCGCCCCGCAAGGGGAGCGGCAGACGGGAGAGUAACACGUGGGAACGUACCCUUUGGUUCGGAACAACACAGGGAAACUUGUGCUAAUACCGGAUAAGCCCUUACGGGGAAAGAUUUAUUGCCAAAGGAUCGGCCCGCGUCUGAUUAGCUUGUUGGUGAGGUAACGGCUCACCAAGGCUACGAUCAGUAGCUGGUCUGAGAGGAUGAUCAGCCUCACUGGGACUGAGACACGGCCCAGACUCCUACGGGAGGCAGCAGUGGGGAAUAUUGGACAAUGGGCGCAAGCCUGAUCCAGCCAUGCCGCGUGGAUGAUGAAGGCCCUAGGGUUGUAAAGUCCUUUCGACGGGGAAGAUAAUGACGGUACCCGUAGAAGGAAGCCCCGGCUAACUUCGUGCCAGCAGCCGC
rnacentral:rRNA from 1 species